rnacentral:rRNA from 1 species
GACGAACGCUGGCGGCGUGCCUAACACAUGCAAGUCGAACGGAAAGGCCCUGCUUUUGUGGGGUGCUCUAGGGGCGAACGGGUGAGUAACACGUGAGUAACCUGCCCUUGACUUUGGGAUAACUUCAGGAAACUGGGGCUAUUACCGGAUAGGAUCUCCUGCUGCUUGGUGGGGGUUGGAUAGUUUCGGUGGUUGGGGAUGGACUCGCGGCUUAUCAGCUUGUUGGUGGGGUAGUGGCUUACCAAGGCUCUGCAGGGUAGCAGACCUGGGAGGGUGAGUGGACAAAUUAGGACUGGGAUGCGACGCAGACGCGACUGGGACGCAGGGGUGGAGAGUAUUACACAAUGGGCGGAAGGCAGAUGUAGUGACGCCGCGCGCGGGAUGACAGCCUUGGGGUUGUGAACCGCUGUCGCCUGAGACGAAGCGUGAGUGACGGUAAUGGGUAAAGAAGCACCGGCUAACUACGUG